rnacentral:rRNA from 1 species
CCCUUAGUAACUGCGAGUGAAGUGGGAAAAGCUCAAAUUUGAAAUCUGGCAGUCUCCUUUUUCUAUUUUGGCUGUCCGAGUUGUAAUCUAGAGAAGUGUUUACCUGCACUGGACCAUGUAUAAGUCUCCUGGAAUGGAGCAUCACAGAGGGUGAGAAUCCCGUCUUUGACAUGGACUGCCAGUGUGCUGUGGUGCGCUCUCAAAGAGUCGAGUUGUUUGGGAAUGCAGCUCUAAAUGGGUGGUAAACUCCAUCUAAAGCUAAAUAUUGGCGAGAGACCGAUAGUGAACAAGUACCGUGAGGGAAAGAUGAAAAGGACUUUGGAAAGAGAGUUAAACAGUAUGUGAAAUUGUUGAAAGGGAAACGCUUGAAGUCAAUUAUGUUGGCUAGGGAUCAACUUGGCUAUUUUUGCUGGGUGAAUUUCCUAGUCUGACAGGCCAACAUCAGUUCUGACUGCUGGAAAAGAGCAAAGGGAAUGUGGCACC